rnacentral:sRNA from 1 species
UCAAAAUCAUACCUCCCUGGGCCAUUUA